rnacentral:rRNA from 1 species
AUGGCGAUCCCGCAUAGGCCCUUCUUAUCCUUGACGUCGCGCUCCAUGCGGAUGUAUCCCAUCUCGCCCCACUCCUCACCCCACGAGUUCUUCACGACCCAGUACUUGGUGCCGUCUACGGUGGCGCCAUACCCCACCACCGCAACGCCAUGGUCCAGCUCGGUCCCGCACUCCCCGGCGAACACCCCCUCCGAAUGA